AUUGAACGCUGGCGGAAUGCUUAACACAUGCAAGUCGAGCGGGCUGUAGCAAUACAGCUAGCGGCGGACGGGUGAGGAAUACAUAGGAAUCUGCCUCAGAGUGGGGGAUAGCCCGGGGAAACCCGGAUUAAUACCGCAUGAUGUCGUAAGACCAAAGCAGGGGACCGUAAGGCCUUGCGCUUUGAGAUGAGCCUAUGUCGGAUUAGCUAGUUGGCGGGGUAAAAGCCCACCGAAGGCGACGAUCCGUAGCUGGUCUGAGAGGACGAUCAGCCACACCGGAACUGAGACACGGUCCGGACUCCUACGGGAGGCAGCAGUGGGGAAUAUUGGACAAUGGGCNCAAGCCUGAUCCAGCAAUUCCGCGUGUGU
rnacentral:rRNA from 1 species